rnacentral:rRNA from 1 species
GAUGAACGCUGGCGGCGUGCCUAAUACAUGCGAGUCGAGCGAACAGACGAGGAGCUUGCUCCUUCGACGUUAGCGGCGGACGGGUGAGUAACACGUAGGUAACCUACCUAUAAGACUGGGAUAACUUCGGGAAACCGGAGCUAAUACCGGAUAAUAUUUCGAACCGCAUGGUUCGAUAGUGAAAGAUGGCUUUGCUAUCACUUAUAGAUGGACCUGCGCCGUAUUAGCUAGUUGGUAAGGUAACGGCUUACCAAGGCAACGAUACGUAGCCGACCUGAGAGGGUGAUCAGCCACACUGGAACUGAGACACGGUCCAGACUCCUACGGGAGGCAGCAGUAGGGAAUCUUCCGCAAUGGGCGAAAGCCUGACGGAGCAACGCCGCGUGAGUGAUGAAGGUCUUCGGAUCGUAAAACUCUGUUAUUAGGGAAGAACAAACGUGUAAGUAACUGUGCACGUCUUGACGGUACCUAAUCAGAAAGCCACGGCUAACUACGUG